GAAGAUCAUUUUCUCUAUGUUAAAUAGAGAUGACACUAAUCUUAUAGCGAUGCUAUUAUGGCCAAUAUGAUUUUCAGGAAUUGAAUAGUUUCAUUUUUCAAAAAUUAAUGCUAUGCCUGCUCCCAACUUGAUGACUUUGCUAUUAUCCAUACACGUACAUCUUUGCUAAAAGCUUCAAGUGUUAAACUGUGGUCCUCUCUAUCUAUCAAUGUUUAUAAAACUAGUGCUGAUGCCUCUGUUUUGCCUGCAACAAGGGCGACUGGACUAGGAGUUGGUUGUGCCAUUGCAUCUGCUGCCAAAAGAGUUGAAGAGGUUUGGGAUGUGGAAAUGGCUGAAUUAAUGGCACUGUUAUAUGCCAUAUCUAUUGCUUGGGACAGUGAGAUUCGGCGAGUUAUUGUUGAAAAUAUGAUGCUGUAGCCGCUAUUCACAAGCUCUAACAAUGGAGGGCCAAAUUCAUCUUUGAACUACUAGCUGAUAUUUGAAAAUUCUCAACACUGUUCUAACAUUUGAUGAGGUCCAUUUCUCUCCAGAAAAUAUCAUUUUAGAUGGAUAAAUUUAAAAGUCUUACGUUAAUAGAAUAGGGAAUAAACCUGCUCAUUUCUUGGCUAUAGUGGCUCACAAUCUGGUGCAUGAACAAAUACUUAUGGAGGAAGUCCUAUCUAACGUAUGGCCAUAUGUUUAUGAGGGUGCAAUUUCUUUAUUGAGUUAAUGAAGUUGCCGUUUUCAGUUAAACAAAAAAACUAUCUCUGAGAUUGUUCCAGUCAUAGUCUGAUAGAUGUUCCUUAUUCACUGAUAUCCAUUUCUCAACCUUAAGCCAUCCAUGCAGUUCACUUUCACAUGGGAAACAAUGCAGGAAUUCUGACCAACUGUGCAGCAAUAUAAUAUUCUUUAGAAAUUUCAAAAUAAUCUGCAGAAGCACAGCACAUGGAGAACACAGAAAUAGUAGAUAUGCCCCAGGAAAAAUAUCAUCAGAGGAACAGAGAACUGAUGCGCUUGAGGACUGAUAAGCAAAAGAUUCCUAAAAACUUUCAAAGCUUAUCAAAACAAAUGGACUCAAUAUGCUAGGUUUCAAAGCAAUGAGUUCUAUAUAUUUAUCUAUCUGCAAAUGCAACUUCAAAUUGACUUCCAACUUAUCCAAAUUAUCUGCAACCUUAAUAUAGAACUAAGCCCCAAUUUUGGUAAAAUUGUUACAAAUGAUUCUCAUAAUAAGCUCCCAAAAUGCAAAUAUGAGUAAUGGAUUUUAUUACAAUGAAGCUUACCAAUGCUAUGCUUCCUUUCUAGGAUCAAAUAAUCUUUGAUAGCAUAAAAAGGUGAUUCCAAGUAAUUAAAAUAGUGUCAAGAAAGUGUUCAAAAUAUUUACCUUAAAAGUAUUCCCAGCAUCCGAAAAGCAGAUAUCCCAUAUAGUACUGAAUAUCUUCAAGAUGCAAUCUUGAUCCCUCAGCAAGCCAACCUACAUUUAUAUAGAAGAAACUAAAGAAAUGCAUAAUUUUGCCUUGGCUUCACUCUUUUUACCCUGUCUUCUGAUUACCAGUUGGCAAUUUCUUGAAUCUUUACAAAAAUUGAGGACCAUCAAUUUCAAUAAUCUGAAAUCUAAGGCCAUAUCAAUGCAAAAUGCUUAUUUAGCAUUCCAUCAACCACUCAAAUCAUUACUGGCAACAACUUCAACCCUUUAUCAUGAUAAUAUCUUAACCACCACUAAGGGAAAUAAUAAAAGAAGUCCACACAAAAACUCUGCUGUGGCUUUGAUCUUAAAAAUAUCAUCCACCCAUCUUAGAGUACUAUCAUCCAUUAACA
rnacentral:lncRNA from 1 species